CAAGUAUAUCAUUUAUGCACAUAUGAUUGAUAUAACAAACCCAUCUAGUUUGAUAUAGAGAUGUACAAGUAGUUAUUGUUGUUGUAUAAACAAUAAUAACGAAGGAACAGACCUUAGGGCAGCACUUGCCGCAGUUUGAGCAGCGAAUGAAUUUGGUGUGGCCACGUCCAUGCUUGUUACGACCUCCGUUUCUUCUCUUGAAUGUCUGUAAAUUUAGAGAAAUAGAUUUAGAAAUUAUACAAUUUUUUCUAGGUAUAAAGUUACGUUAGCUGAGGAAAUUCAAAAUUUUAGCUAACCAUUUUCGCCGGACGAGUUGUAGCAGCUGCUGAGCAGUGGAUACGAUGGAACUCUAAUGGCGACCACUCUGCUUCUGACGCUAUCAGCUACUAGGGUUUUCCUUUGAUAAGAGAUGUGAAAUAUAAGCCUUCUUUGAAAAGCCCAAUAAAC
rnacentral:lncRNA from 1 species